GAUGAACGCUGGCGGCGUGCCUAACACAUGCAAGUCGAGCGAACGGACGAGAAGCUUGCUUCUCUGAUGUUAGCGGCGGACGGGUGAGUAACACGUGGAUAACCUACCUAUAAGACUGGGAUAACUUCGGGAAACCGGAGCUAAUACCGGAUAAUAUUUUGAACCGCAUGGAUCAAAAGUGAAAGACGGUCUUGCUGUCACUUAUAGAUGGAUCCGCGCUGCAUUAGCUAGUUGGUAAGGUAACGGCUUACCAAGGCAACGAUGCAUAGCCGACCUGAGAGGGUGAUCGGCCACACUGGAACUGAGACACGGUCCAGACUCCUACGGGAGGCAGCAGUAGGGAAUCUUCCGCAAUGGGCGAAAGCCUGACGGAGCAACGCCGCGUGGGUGAUGAAGGUCUUCGGAUCGUAAAGCUCUGUUAUUAGGGAAGAACAGCUGUGUGAGUAACUGUGCACAUCUUGACGGUACCUAAUCAGAAAGCCCCGGCUAACUACGUG
rnacentral:rRNA from 1 species